UUCUUCAAAAUUAUGCGGAUAUUUUGUUGAAGAACCAGUUCUAUUUAGAAGACAAGGGCAAGCUCAAGAGUGCGCUUGCUAGUUUGGUGCGCUGCUUAUUGCUAUUGCCAUCUAAUAAAGUAGAAGUUGACUCAUUCAAGAAGGAAGUCCCAGGGCAAGAUUUGUUGCAUGCUUAUGAGCCUGACAGGCCUACAGAAUUUGCUGGGUAAUCCAGAAUCAUAUGCUUCUAUGUGGGAUCAAGGCAUCUCAUCAGUGCUACUAAAGAAGUUCCUAGGUGUAUUUCCAUUCAAUGCAGUGCACUCAGAAAAGGAUGAUGACAGAUAUUUUUCCUUGAAUGUUAUGAUUGCUG